rnacentral:rRNA from 1 species
CUGCAAGUCGAACGGCAGCACGGGUGCUUGCACCUGGUGGCGAGUGGCGAACGGGUGAGUAAUACAUCGGAACAUGUCCUGUAGUGGGGGAUAGCCCGGCGAAAGCCGGAUUAAUACCGCAUACGAUCUACGGAUGAAAGCGGGGGACCUUCGGGCCUCGCGCUAUAGGGUUGGCCGAUGGCUGAUUAGCUAGUUGGUGGGGUAAAGGCCUACCAAGGCGACGAUCAGUAGCUGGUCUGAGAGGACGACCAGCCACACUGGGACUGAGACACGGCCCAGACUCCUACGGGAGGCAGCAGUGGGGAAUUUUGGACAAUGGGCGAAAGCCUGAUCCAGCAAUGCCGCGUGUGUGAAGAAGGCCUUCGGGUUGUAAAGCACUUUUGUCCGGAAAGAAAUCCUUGGCUCUAAUACAGCCGGGGGAUGACGGUACCGGAAGAAUAAGCACCGGCUAACUACGUGCCAGCAGCCGCGGUAAUACGUAGGGUGCAAGCGUUAAUCGGAAUUACUGGGCGUAAAGCGUGCGCAGGCGGUUUGCUAAGACCGAUGUGAAAUCCCCGGGCUCAACCUGGGAACUGCAUUGGUGACUGGCAGGCUAGAGUAUGGCAGAGGGGGGUAGAAUUCCACGUGUAGCAGUGAAAUGCGUAGAGAUGUGGAGGAAUACCGAUGGCGAA